rnacentral:rRNA from 1 species
CCCCAGUGCUGGAGGUUCGGCUGACCCCUGUGGCUUGUGCGGUAGCAGCCGCGGAUGUAGAUGGGUGAGUUAUUUUCCCCAUUAAUGACCUUGGCGUUGACCUAUCGUGUUUGCCGCUCGGCGGGGGAGGUCGAGGUGAAGGCCCCCUGUUGCAUGCUGAGAUUAAGCAACAGCAGCAGCAGGAGCUUCUUUAUUCUGAUGGGGGCGCACGCCCGGGACUUGCCAAGACAGCACUCGUGGCCCUGGAGGGGUUUUGGAAGUACUGUGACUCCGAAGGGGUGGUGAGUGUACUUGUCGGUAAGUACCUUGAGCAGACAUGUUAGUACCCGAAAGAUGGUGAACUAUGCCUGGCCAGGAUGAAGCCAGAGGAAACUCUGGUGGAGGUCCGCAGCGAUUCUGACGUGCAAAUCGAUCGUCGGAGCUGGGUAUAGGGGCGAAAGACUAAUCGAACCAUCUAGUAGCUGGUUCCCUCCGAAGUUUCCCUCAGGAUAGCUGGUACUCUGGGACAGGAGUUUCAUCUGGUAAAGCGAAUGAUUAGAGGUGUUGGGGACGAAACGUCCUCAACCUAUUCUCAAACUUUAAAUGGGUGAGAUGCCGAGCUUGCUUUGACUUUAGAAAUUAGAUUUUCUAAUGAAGCUGAGGCGAUUAAUCUGAGUAUCUAGUGGGCCAAUUUUGGUAAGCAGAACUGGCGAUGUGGGAUGAACCAAACGUCGAGUUAAGGGGCCUAAAUGAAUGCUCAUAUAGAUACCAUCAAAAGGUGUUGGUUGCUGAUGACAGCAGGAAGGUGGCCAUGGAAGUCGGAAUCCUCUUAGGAGUGUGUAAAAACUCACUUGCCGAAGCAACUAGCCCUUAAAAUGGCAUGGCGCUCAAGCAUUCUCCCGAUACUUGACCGCUGGGGCACUACGGGCUGCACUCAGGGUGCGGUCUCGAAGCCCCAGUGAGUAGGGGGGUCGCAGGGGUGAGCGUAGAAGGGAUCCGGCGUGGGCCGGCCUGGAGCCAC